rnacentral:rRNA from 1 species
GGGUUGGGCGGUGCGCCUGAUUAGGUAGUUGGCGGGGUAACGGACCCGACCCAAGACCUGCGAUCAGUAAACUGGUGUGAGAGCACGACCAGUCACACGGGCACUGAGACACGGGCCCGACGCCUACGGGAGGCAGCAGUAAGGAAUAAUUGGUCAAUGGACGCAAGUCUGAACCAGCCAUGCCGCGUGAAGGAUGACUGCCCUCUGGGUUGUAAACUUCUUUUAUCUGGGACGAAAAAAAGGGGCUUUCUAGCUCGACUGACGGUACCAGAGGAAUAAGCACCGGCUAACUCCGUGCCAGCAGCCGCGGUAAUACGGAGGGUGCAAGCGCUAUCCGGAUUUACUGGGUUUAAAGGGUGCGUAGGUGGGUCUGUAAGUCAGUGGUCGAAAUCUCCGAGCUUAACUCGGAAACUGCCAUUGAUACUAUAGAUCUUGAAUUAUCUGGAGGUAAGCGGAAUAUGUCAUGUAGCGGUGAAAUGCUUAGAUAUGACAUAGAACACCAAUUGCGAACGGCAGCUUACUACGGAUCGUCGACGCGGCCG